rnacentral:lncRNA from 1 species
UCUUCCCACAGCUCUCAAAAAGUUGCCCAGUUCAAAUGCCUUGGCGACCUUGGUUCCCCUCUUGGCCUCCGCCGACGCCCGCUUCUCCGCCGCCUUCUGGUGCGCUUUUGCCACAUCGUUCUGCAUCUUCUCCAUUGCCCUCGCCCGCUGCUCAUCCAGUUUCCUCUGUUCAUGCAAGAAAAAGGAAGCAUGGGGUCGGCUGAGAGCUGCGUGAUCUCGAUCGAUUCAGCAGCAGAGCGUGAUCAGGGUUGGUGAUUGAUGGCAUACCUCGAUCUUCUUCAACCGAGCCGUGGCUUUCUCGACCUGCUCGCUCUCCCACCCGUUGAUGAUCGCCUCCUCGCGCUUGAAGCGGUUGUUGAUCUUGGCGACCUCCGCG